rnacentral:lncRNA from 1 species
CCCAACUCUAAGAGGAGGCUUGAAUCAGUUACAUCCAAAGAUGUCUUCUAUCCUAUAUCUUGCUGAGAUUUCCAUUAUUUUGAUCAACUUAUCUCAUUAAUGUAGCAAGAGUUCAAUACAAAAUCUCCAACUUUCCUUUCUCCCCAAAAGAGCACUUUUUUAAUUGUGUUGAAUUGGUUCAAGGAAUGGUCUGCUGAGUACUGGAGACAAGUUUACAUCAUCAAGGAUGCUGCAAAAUAUCAUUUGAGGACUGGUGCUCUUAUAGCCUGAAUAUCUGCUGUAUUGUUGCCUGUGAGCGAGGGAGGGGUGUGCUGGCAAUGCAAAUGACUUUCCAGUCCUGAGUCUCUAGAUCUGUACACCUUCUGUUUCAGAAUUUUGGCAGACAAACCAACUAGCCAAGCAUACAACAUUUUUGUUCACUGAGGAGGAGUGGUGCCUUCACCUGAAGACCAUGAAGCCAAAGAUGCACUUCUCUUACACUGUGGAUUCCUGCUAUAUCGUUUUGUUCUGUCUUGCAUGAUUUGACUCUUAGUGUAUUACCUACGCAGAAAGCCACUAAAAA